AACGGGUUGCAAUAAACUGGUGGCUGCGACUGUUUAAUAAAAACACAGCACUCUGCAAACACGAAAGUGGACGUAUAGGGUGUGACGCCUGCCCGGUGCUGGAAGGUUAAGAGGACCGGUUAGUAGUCUUUGACUGCGAAGCUGAGAAUUUAAGCCCCAGUAAACGGCGGUGGUAACUAUAACCAUCCUAAGGUAGCGAAAUUCCUUGUCGGGUAAGUUCCGACCUGCACGAAUGGCGUAACGACUUCCCCACUGUCUCCAACAGAGACUCAGCGAAAUUGAAUUCUCCGUGAAGAUGCGGAGUACCCGCGGUCAGACGGAAAGACCCCGUGCACCUUUACUACAGCUUCGCAGUGGCGUUAGUGGCGAUAUGUGUAGGAUAGGCGGGAGGCUUUGAAAC
rnacentral:rRNA from 13 species